rnacentral:tRNA from 1 species
GUGUAUGUAAUUUAAAAAAAAUAUCAAGUUGUGACCCUG